rnacentral:tRNA from 1 species
GUCCCUGGGUGGAAAAUGAUUAACAUGUUUAGCUGCUAACUAAAAGUUUGGUGGUUCGAGUCUACUCAGAGGCA